UACAGAGGUGGCAAGCGUUGUUCGGAAUUACUGGGCGUAAAGGGCGCGUAGGCGGCCUUCUAAGUCAGACGUGAAAUCCCCCGGCUUAACCUGGGAACUGCGUCUGAUACUGGGAGGCUUGAGUAUGGGAGAGGGAUGUAGAAUUCCUGGUGUAGCGGUGAAAUGCGCAGAUAUCAGGAGGAACACCGGUGGCGAAGGCGGGUCUCUGGGCCGAUACUGACGCUGAGGAGCGAAAGCGUGGGGAGCGAACAGG
rnacentral:rRNA from 1 species